CCUUAGGAAAAUAAUAGUAGUAAUAAUAACGGUGUUGCUGUUCCAGUGCCCGUCCAGCCUCCCGCUCGGUCUUUGAGAAAGCAAGCAGGAAAGAGCUGCUCUGCUCCCUCCCCUAAUGAUGCCCCGGACCGGAGGGGAAGACCACGGUGCCCGCGGGGCUGGGCCCUCGGUAGGAUUAAGGCCUCGGGCGGUCGCCCUCAAAGCAAGAUAAGCCAGUAGUGAGCCCCUUCGAAGUCGGCUGGGUGGGAUGGGCGGACUUUUCUUCCUGGGACCCUUGAGAGCAGGGCUGACUUAGCGCAAGGGCUUGAGUCAACACACCCAAGGAAGAUCUGUACUUAACACAUCUGCUUUACUAAACACAUCUGCUUUACUAAACACAUCUGCUUUAUUGUGUCAACUCUGAAGUGUCAGGGUUGGGCUGGGCUGGGCUGUUUAGUCGCUGAGGGCUGAAACAAAUGCACUUUUUCUAUUUAUCAGAGUACAAUUGAAAAAAUGCGUAAUAAAAGAACAAUAUCCUACUACCUGGAGGUUUAGGGACUAGAGCUUGAUGCUGGUAAGCAACCUUACAACAGCCACCAGACCCAGAAGUUCUGAACUGAAGAAGUGGCUUUCUAAGCCUCGAGGAGAAUGGGCACAGCAGCUUAUUAGACCUCUAACACUGAUGGAAGAAUUCCAAGUUUCAGGAAUUCACACUCACUCCCUUAUCUCUCUCUUCCUGGAUUUAAAAGGUUGAGGCUGUUCUGUUUCCAGGAAAUCAAUUUUGUAUUUAAGCACUCGAACACACGAAGGAAAACCAAGAUCCUCUCUCUUCACCACUUUAUCUUCAGAAAGGAGACGUUUUGAUGUAAUUUGCAGAACAGAGAACACGCAAUGGGAUUCCCAACAGAAAAGGUGGCAGGCCAGAAGGAAGUGAAACUUUCUGCAGGAAAUUAAUGAAGUGGGUCAAAGCUUUCCUUCCCUCGAGUCUCUCUUUUCUGUAUGCUGUGACCUAAGACGGGAGAGGGGGUCCCUGGGAAUGUCCCUUUAUACCUGAAAGGAGCACUGGAUAGUGUAAGAUUCAGGGUCAAGACACCGUGGAGUGAAGAGUUCAGGAGAAGUCUGCUUUAAUACCUUAAGGAAAGCGAAAGCCAUUCAGCCAUGUCCUGCUCUUUGUGACCCCAUGGUGACCACAUGGGUGGGAUUCUCCAG
rnacentral:lncRNA from 1 species